AGAGCUCACCAAAAGUUUGUAAUUGCCACUUCCACCAAAGUUGAUAUCUCAACUGUUAAAAUUCCAAAGCAUCUGAAUGAUACUUACUUCUAGAGGAAGAGGCUGCGCAGACCCAAGCACCAGGAGGGAAAGAUUUUUGACACAGAGAAGGAAAAAUAUGCAGUCACACAACAGCGCAAAGCAGAUCAGAAAUUCGUGGACUCUCAGCUCCUGCCAUUGGUCAAGAAAGAGCCCCAGCUGCGUGGAUACCUGCACUCAGUAUUUUUCUUGUCAAAUGUACCCUCACAAACUGGUCUUCUA